UACGGGGGGAGCAAGCGUUGUUCGGAUUUACUGGGCGUAAAGGGCGCGUAGGCGGCGCGGUACGUCACUUGUGAAAUCUCUGAGCUUAACUCAGAACGGCCAAGUGAUACUGCAGUGCUAGAGUGUGGAAGGGGCAAUCGGAAUUCUUGGUGUAGCGGUGAAAUGCGUAGAUAUCAAGAGGAACACCUGAGGUGAAGACGGGUUGCUGGGCCAACACUGACGCUGAUGCGCGAAAGCCAGGGGAGCAAACGGG
rnacentral:rRNA from 1 species